rnacentral:rRNA from 1 species
GACGAACCGUACGAACGUUAUUCGGAAUUACUGGGCUUAAAGAGUUCGUAGGCGGCUUGGAAAGUGGGGUGUGAAAGCCCUCGGCUCAACCGAGGAAUUGCGCUCCAAACUACCGAGCUUGAGUAGGCUAGAGGUGAGCAGAACUGAUGGUGGAGCGGUGAAAUGCGUUGAUAUCAUCAGGAAUACCGGAGGCGAAGGCGGCUCACUGGGACCUAACUGACGCUGAGGAACGAAAGCUAGGGGAGCAAACGGG